GAAGAUGAUGAAUGAUGAACUGCGAUUGAAAGGGAAAUGUAGAGGGGAUGCGGACAUUUGAAGGGGAUAAUGAGUGAUGAUUGGGUGAAGGGCAAUUUAGAGAAAUUGAUUAUCAAGAUGAAAUGAACAUGAGUAAUGUUUGGUUUAUAUAAGGAAUAAGAAUCAAUGAACAAUAAGAGAUGGAUUCGAAUAAGGGCAAAGCGAAGAAUGAUGUCAAAGACCAGACUAAAGUCAAAGAAAAUAAAGAAGCACUCAAGAAAGCAUCUGAUCCACAU